rnacentral:lncRNA from 1 species
UGAGGGAUGGACUUUCAUAACCACCACAGGCUCUUGUUUGCAUUGUCCAGAUCCACAGCUCUACAUAAAUGACCCACUGACCCAGCUGGCAUGUUCUAAAAUCAGUCAUCAUGUUGGCACUGGAAUGUGCUUCCCCUCUGAGGAUGAGAAAUGAUUAACUCUGACAGUGAUGCUGGGCAGGGGUGUACCUGCAAGAUGAUGGCCUUUUCUAAAGGGCAGCUUUCCCUUAAACUCUCCCCACAAGCCUCAAUAAAAUUUGCAUAGAGCUGCACUGCAGUUUAAUAAAUAACAUUACCUGUGCCUUUCAUCCUUUCUCUCUGCCCCCUGUGUUUUUUUUCUUCAUAGGAGAAGACAUGAUUUAUGGUCUGAUGGCUUUUCCGGUAGGUCAUUCUCGCUGGCACUUCCCUUAAUAAAUAAUCUCAUCUUGGCAUCUGUCUCUUGGAGGAUCUGGACUAACACAGAUGGUUUGGACAUGUGCUGGGACAUCCUGAUGUUCAUAUUUGAAUAGAAUUCCCCACUGAAGAAAGAAAAUGGUGGCCAAUUGACUAAGAGUACAAGACAUCAAUUUGCAAAAUGAAUUAUGUGUAGUUCUGAGCCCACUGCACUGUGCGCUCUAUUCAGCCCGAUGAAGUACUGCUCAGUUUUUGAGUGAACUGUAUUGCUUUUUACACCCACCUCCUCUUUCCAAGGAGAAAGCGGAGAACAAGGAAGACAGCGUUAGUUCUAAGUGUGAUUCUGAAUCUGGUUCAGCGGAGAACGAACACAGCGGAACAGAAACUGAACCCAAGGCUUCAUGCAUGCAAGUCAGGAACUCUGCUGCCAACCCGCGUUUCAAUUCCACAAUUCUAACUUUAAAGGUGGCUCUGAAGGAGUGAGUCUUUUUAGUGCUGUCUAGGAUGAAAUAAAGAUUUAGAAGGUGUGAGCCGGCUUGCUUUC